rnacentral:lncRNA from 1 species
AGAUUAGAUCAACAUCCUCUAUUUAGUAAUUACAGUACAAAACUAUACAAUAAGUAGCUAAUAAAUAAGAAUACUAUAGUAGAAAUACAAAAUAAAAUAUAUAUGUGCCUUUUUAUGUUAUUGGAACACUUAUUUCUGCUUUCAUCUUCCGUUUGAUCUAUUUCAGAUGGUUAACAUACCUGCUUCUUCUGAUUUUGGACCUAGUCAUCUGUCUCAUAGCAUGUCUGGGAUUGGCAAAGCAGUCUCGAUGGAUGCUCACAGUUCAGUAUUAUGGUGUGUGGUGUACUGACCCUGAUCAUGAGUUGGGCAUCAUUAGGAGCGGGCACAGCAACAGCUGUGGUAAGUUACUGUGUUUUCACAUGAGUGCGUACUUUAAACCCCCUUUGAUCAGUGUCCAGUGACUAUGAGUCACUUCAUUCACUAACACUGUCCUAGAUUUUUUUUUUUUUUUUUUUAAAGUGAAUGUUUGUAAGGGUAGAGGUUGCGUGAGCUGUGCUAAACUCUUAGGAGAUUAUCAGGGUUCAGUGACUGCGUUUCUGCAUCUCGUGGUGCAUGCCAGUUUGAAAAGCUGAUUAUAAAGCUCUGGUCAUUUAAAUUAGACAGUCCACUGGCUCAACGGAUGUAAACAGCCAUUCUCUCUAUCACUUAACAGGCCAAUUUAUCUAAGGUCUCGCCUCGCUCUUCAUCUCUGCAUCUCUCAGGCUGCAUGCAUAAUAAAGAUAGCAAACUGUAUUUAACAUUCUGAAGAUGCCUUUUAUGUAGUCUUGACUUGUAAUACAGUAAUUAGGUGUGUAGUACCGUACACCUGGAGCUAAGUGCCUUGUUCAUGAUGUCACUGGGGUAUUGAAGGGGAAUCUCAUGUGCUUUACACUUCCUGUGAUGCACUUACCUGACAUCAAACACGCCACUUUUCAUUAGCAGUCCAAAUCUUCAACUAUGAAUCCGCAACCUUGCUUAAACAUGUUUAUAGCUAACAAAUGCUGUGAAAGAAAUAGUAAAUGCUACUUGCAUUU